GGGGAAUAUUGGACAAUGGGCGCAAGCCUGAUCCAGCCAUGCCGCGUGUGUGAAGAAGGCCUUCGGGUUGUAAAGCACUUUUGUCCGGAAAGAAAGCGAAUCGGCGAAUACCCGGUUUGGAUGACGGUACCGGAAGAAUAAGCACCGGCUAACUUCGUGCCAGCAGCCGCGGUAAUACGAAGGGUGCAAGCGUUACUCGGAAUUACUGGGCGUAAAGCGUGCGUAGGCGGUCUGUUAAGUCUUGAGUGAAAGCUCGCAGCUCAACUGCAGAACUGCUCAGGAAACUGAUAGAAUUGAGUAUGGAAGAGGUAGGUGGAAUUUCCGGUGUAGGGGUAAAAUCCGUAGAUAUCGGAAGGAAUACCAGAAGCGAAGGCGACCUACUGGGACAUUACUGACGCUGAGGCUCGAAAGCGUGGGGAGCAAACA
rnacentral:rRNA from 1 species